rnacentral:rRNA from 1 species
AAAUUGAAGAGUUUGAUCAUGGCUCAGAUUGAACGCUGGCGGCAGGCCUAACACAUGCAAGUCGAACGGUAGCACAGAGAGCUUGCUCUCGGGUGACGAGUGGCGGACGGGUGAGUAAUGUCUGGGAAACUGCCUGAUGGAGGGGGAUAACUACUGGAAACGGUGGCUAAUACCGCAUAACGUCGCAAGACCAAAGAGGGGGACCUUCGGGCCUCUUGCCAUCAGAUGUGCCCAGAUGGGAUUAGCUUGUUGGUGAGGUAACGGCUCACCAAGGCGACGAUCCCUAGCUGGUCUGAGAGGAUGACCAGCCACACUGGAACUGAGACACGGUCCAGACUCCUACGGGAGGCAGCAGUGGGGAAUAUUGCACAAUGGGCGCAAGCCUGAUGCAGCCAUGCCGCGUGUAUGAAGAAGGCCUUCGGGUUGUAAAGUACUUUCAGCGGGGAGGAAGGUGUUGUGGUUAAUAACCGCAGCAAUUGACGUUACCCGCAGAAGAAGCACCGGCUAACUCCGU